rnacentral:misc_RNA from 1 species
AAUGUUCCUCAAUUCCAACAUGGCGGACAGCCCUCCGAUUUGGUUUGCUGUUCUGCAAGCCAUGAUUACUGACACUGGAAAGGAUGAUGACUUUCUUUCAGCUCAAAUGAAAUGGAAAAAGCCCUGGAAAAAAGUGCUUUACGAAGACCAAGGUGUUCCAGACAACUAUGUGGACAAGUCAUUUCUCGAAGAAAUGAAGAAAAAUUUAAAUACAAGAACUUAUCAGUUCUGGUCGGUGGUAUUGGAAUCAGGGGCAGUAUCUCAGCAAGUAAGCAGUGUUUGCAUAUUUGUGGCGGCAUUUGUGUACAUGGACUUUGGACUCCUGUCACCCUCUGUGCUGUUUGCUGUCUCCUCUAUGUUGACACUGCUUGGUUACGUACUGUUUGAUGCUUUGGAUGGAGGAAGAUUGAGAUCCGCAUCGAAAAGAACAAGAUUAGAUGACCUCAAGAGUAGUGUGGUAGUUCUUGGCUCUGUGUUUGCAUUGUCUCCAGUUUUGAAGACUUUGACUGAUUCCAUUAGUACAGAUACAAUUUAUGCCAUGACAACUUUCAUGCUCGCAAUGAACCUACUACUUUAUGAUUAUGGAACAAGUGCUGCAAUUGUUUCCAGGUCCGCCUCUCUGAACGCCUCCAUCUUCGCGUCUGUGUGUUUGGCGUCCCGUCUUCCUUCCUCCUGGCAUGUGUUCGCCACUGUUACUUUCGCCAUGCAGUUGUUUGCUCUCUUUCCGUCUCUGAGAAGACAGCUUAAGAUGCAGCUUCCCACAAGCCACGUCGUCGUUACUUGGUCUCUAGUAUUGGUUGCUAUAGCGAUGUUAUGGCCGCUGUCCCCACUGUUUGCAGUGUUGCUGGCUCUGGUGCACCUGGCGGUAACGUUUGUGUGUCCGUUUUGGCUGAUUAAGCUACAACGGUUGAAAAAGUAAGAACGAAUCUCUUGUGGCUGAGAAAAAAAUGAGGACUUCAAUAGAAACUCAGAACUAGUUUAAGUUACAGCUGGCACGGGAGUCACACAAGUCACUGGGUAAUAUUCAUGGUCCGUGGGAUGAAGCUGUGAUAAAAGAACACCAUGUUGGCAAAGUGAAGUAAACAAUUUU